rnacentral:rRNA from 1 species
UAGGGAAUCUUCGGCAAUGGGGGCGAACCCUGACCGAGCAACGCCGCGUGACGUGAAGAAGGUUUUCGGAUCGUAAAGCUCUGUUGUAAGAGAAGAACGUGUGUGAGAGUGGAAAGUUCACACAGUGACGGUAACUUACCAGAAAGGGACGGCUAACUACGUGCCAG